CUCUCUCUCACUCUCACGCUUAUGCCGCCACCGCGACGCCUCCUCGCCACCAUGGCGCCUCCACUGCGACGCCUCCUCGCCACCAUGAUGCCUCCACCGCGGUGCCUCCACAGCCGCCGACUCGUACUCUCACACCUUCAAAUCGGCCGAGACUAAAGGGCAAAGGCUCAAAGGUAAACUCAGAUCUGUCUUUUCUUUUUCUUUUUUCUUAAAAUAAAUAUCAAAUAUGUCUUCUCCGCCUUCAGGAGCGACCGAAAUGUCAUUAAUAGCCGGUUUUCUCUGCUUGUUUUUGGAUAAAUCAUUAAUGUAUACGGUGUAGAUCUGUGUUUGUUUAUGUGGAUUUCUGCAUUUUUGUGUGGAUGGAGUGGUUGGAUGUACGGAGCUGCGCGGUGAUGUGGAGUUUUAAUUUGAUUUUGAUUUUUCUGGUGUGUUAGUUUUCAUUUUUCUGGGGUGUUAAAGCUUUAUUUUUUUCUAUUGGUUGAGACCACCGGCGGCUGCGUGAUGUACUCGGGUCACGAGAACACAGCGAUGGUCUCUGUCUGCUCCAGUGGCUACUUGAAGAUAACUCAAGCCAGUGGCUACUUGAAGAUAGCUCAAGCCAGUGGCUACCUGAGAAUCGGUCCAAAGCCGCCUCUCAUACAGCGAACUUGAAAAAUUCUUAUCAUAAACAUGACAAUUCACAAGUAGUCUGAUGAUGGUUAUGCAGUGGGCGGAGAUUUUGUCUACUGAUGCUUUCUUGGCAUUUGAGGAUGUCGGACUAGAUAACAAGAAGGUAUUUCCUGAGCAGAACUUGUUUACUUCAUAUGCUUCUGAUUCUCUUUUCAACCUUUACGUUUCCGUUCUGCAUUUUUUUUCGCUCUAGUUGUAGUUUUUGUUUCCCAAUUUUGAAUUAUAUUGGUUAGGUAGUUUUCCAUACUAUUUCUCUAGACUUUACUUAGAAGCUUUAAAUGCAUAUAUGCUUUGAUUUGAUAUUGGAGUCUUGAUUUAGCUAUAUUGGUUAAUGCAUAGCUCAUUUCUUUCUUUUAAGGGGUGAAUUUACACGUA